AGAGUUUGAUCCUGGCUCAGGACGAACGCUGGCGGCACGCUUAACACAUGCAAGUCGAACGAGAGAAGAGGAGCUUGCUUUUCUGAUCUAGUGGCGGACGGGUGAGUAACACGUGAGCAAUCUGCCUUUCAGAGGGGGAUACCGAUUGGAAACGAUCGUUAAUACCGCAUAACAUAAUUGAACCGCAUGAUUUGAUUAUCAAAGAUUUAUCGCUGAAAGAUGAGCUCGCGUCUGAUUAGCUAGUUGGUAAGGUAACGGCUUACCAAGGCGACGAUCAGUAGCCGGACUGAGAGGUUGAUCGGCCACAUUGGGACUGAGACACGGCCCAGACUCCUACGGGAGGCAGCAGUGGGGAAUAUUGCACAAUGGAGGAAACUCUGAUGCAGCGAUGCCGCGUGAGGGAAGAAGGUUUUAGGAUUGUAAACCUCUGUCUUCAGGGACGAAAAAAGACGGUACCUGAGGAGGAAGCUCCGGCUAACUACGUGCCAGCAGCCGCGGUAAUACGUAGGGAGCGAGCGUUGUCCGGAAUUACUGGGUGUAAAGGGAGCGUAGGCGGGAUCGCAAGUCAGAUGUGAAAACUAUGGGCUUAACCCAUAAACUGCAUUUGAAACUGUGGUUCUUGAGUGAAGUAGAGGUAAGCGGAAUUCCUAGUGUAGCGGUGAAAUGCGUAGAUAUUAGGAGGAACAUCAGUGGCGAAGGCGGCUUACUGGGCUUUAACUGACGCUGAGGCUCGAAAGCGUGGGGAGCAAACAGGAUUAGAUACCCUGGUAGUCCACGCCGUAAACGAUGAUUACUAGGUGUGGGGGGACUGACCCCUUCCGUGCCGCAGCAAACGCAAUAAGUAAUCCACCUGGGGAGUACGACCGCAAGGUUGAAACUCAAAGGAAUUGACGGGGGCCCGCACAAGCAGUGGAGUAUGUGGAUUAAUUCGAAGCAACGCGAAGAACCUUACCAGGUCUUGACAUCGUAUGCAUAGCUCAGAGAUGAGUGAAAUCUCUUCGGAGACAUAUAGACAGGUGGUGCAUGGUUGUCGUCAGCUCGUGUCGUGAGAUGUUGGGUUAAGUCCCGCAACGAGCGCAACCCUUACUGUUAGUUGCUACGCAAGAGCACUCUAGCAGGACUGCCGUUGACAAAACGGAGGAAGGUGGGGAUGACGUCAAAUCAUCAUGCCCCUUAUGACCUGGGCCUCACACGUACUACAAUGGCUGUCAACAGAGGGAAGCAAAGCCGCGAGGUGGAGCGAACCCCUAAAAGCAGUCUUAGUUCGGAUUGUAGGCUGCAACCCGCCUACAUGAAGUCGGAAUUGCUAGUAAUCGCAGAUCAGCAUGCUGCGGUGAAUACGUUCCCGGGCCUUGUACACACCGCCCGUCACGCCAUGGGAGUCGGUAACACCCGAAGCCUGUAGUCUAACCGCAAGGAGGACGCAGUCGAAGGUGGGAUUGAUGACUGGGGUGAAGUC
rnacentral:rRNA from 1 species